AUGAACGUCGGACCAGCGAACAGUUGCUCUGCCUCCGGAGCAGCUUCAUGGUCGACCGGAGCCUUGGGCUUCUUGUCACACCGAUCCGUGGAAGGGGCGCGGCUCGCUGGCCUCUUGACAGCGCUCCAGCUGGUUCGGGACUCCUCGCGACCGGCGCGGUCACCGCCGCCCAUGCCCAAUGCCACGCGUCCGGCACGGUCGCCGCCGCCCAUGUCCGAUGCCACGCGUUUGACUCGCUCGCCUCCGCUCAUCUCCGACAGCACGCGUCCGACGCGCUCACCGCCGGUCAUGUCCGACGCGGCGGCCAGAAUCAUAAAUUUGUUAUCUAUCCAUCUCCGGCUCGCCGACGCACGGCCAGGCUUCCCGUCCGUCCGCGAUGUCUUGAGCAACGUAGAGAUUGGGGCAGACGGUGGGGUUGGCAGCAGCGCAGGAAGAACCGCGGCCAUCUUGAUCUUGCCCUGUCAAGAACAGAGACCAAAGACCAAGGAAGCAGAAAAGGAGACGAAAAGCACGAACCCUAAUUCGAUCGGAUCGACGGAGGAAGAAGAAGGCGACUUACUCGAUUUGAUCUUCGUGUUCCGCCGAUCACCUCGCUGCCCAACGCGAGAGCUUCGAAACGAAAGGGAAAGCCGGGGUACGUAUGUGGCACCCGUAUCUACGUAUUUCUAG
rnacentral:rRNA from 1 species